CACAUACUCUCUUCGUCUCGAAAUUCUUGUCUUACAUUUGUCUAGAUAUAAAUAUAUCUAGUUAUUUUUUAAUAUUUAGAUACGUCAUUUUUUAGAUAAACCUAAGACAAAUUUUUUGAAACGGAGGGAGUAUAUA
rnacentral:pre_miRNA from 2 species